UACGGAGGCAGCAGUGGGGAUCUUAGACAAUGGGGGCAACCCUGAUCUAGCCAUGCCGCGUGAGUGAUGAAGGCCUUAGGGUCGUAAAGCUCUUUCGCCUGUGAUGAUAAUGACAGUAGCAGGUAAAGAAACCCCGGCUAACUCCGUGCCAGCAGCCGCGGUA
rnacentral:rRNA from 1 species